rnacentral:rRNA from 1 species
AUUGAACGCUGGCGGCAUGCCUAACACAUGAAAGUCGACCGGCAGCAGGGGGCUUUCCCCCUGGUGCCGCGGGGGACGGGGGGGAGAAUUCCAUGGAAACAUGUCCUGUGGUGGGGGUAGGCCCGCAAAAGGCCGCUUAAAUCCCCCAUCCGAUGACCGAUGGAAGGGGGGGGCCUUGGGGGCCACGCGCUCUGGGGUGCCCAUGUCGGAUUAGCUCGUUGGUGGGGUAAAGGCCUACCAAGGCGACGAUCAGUAGCUGGUCUGAGAGGACGACCAGCCACACUGGGACUGAGACACGGCCCAGACUCCUACGGGAGGCAGCAGUGGGGAAUUUUGGACAAUGGGCGAAAGCCUGAUCCAGCAAUGCCGCGUGUGUGAAGAAGGCCUUCGGGUUGUAAAGCACUUUUGUCCGGAAAGAAAUCCUUGGCCCUAAUACGGUCGGGGGAUGACGGUACCGGAAGAAUAAGCACCGGCUAACUACGUG